CCACACAAGAGAAAGACAGGGCUUCCUACUAGAUAGAGUUAGUCUCAAAAACCCCAGGGGGCUUCUUAUGUGCUAAACAAGUAGUUGAAGGUUAAUUAGCAGUUUAACUAAACAUAGUAAAGCUGCCAGUCUCCUUCAUACAAAA